rnacentral:rRNA from 1 species
CUACGUGCCAGCAGCCGCGGUAAUACGUAUGUCACAAGCGUUAUCCGGAUUUAUUGGGCGUAAAGCGCGUCUAGGUGGUUAUGUAAGUCUGAUGUGAAAAUGCAGGGCUCAACUCUGUAUUGCGUUGGAAACUGCAUGACUAGAGUACUGGAGAGGUAAGCGGAACUACAAGUGUAGAGGUGGAAUUCGUAGAUAUUUGUAGGAAUGCCGAUGGGGAAGCCAGCUUACUGGACAGAUACUGACGCUAAAGCGCGAAAGCGUGGGUAGCAAACAGGAUUAGAUACCCUGGUAGUCCACGCCGUAAACGAUGAUUACUAGGUGUUGGGGGUCGAACCUCAGCGCCCAAGCUAACGCGAUAAGUAAUCCGCCUGGGGAGUACGUACGCAAGUAUGAAACUCAAAGGAAUUGACGGGGACCCGCACAAGCGGUGGAGCAUGUGGUUUAAUUCGACGCAACGCGAGGAACCUUACCAGCGUUUGACAUC